rnacentral:rRNA from 1 species
CCUACGGGUGGCAGCAGUGAGGAAUAUUGGUCAAUGGGCGCUAGCCUGAACCAGCCAAGUAGCGUGAAGGAUGACUGCCCUAUGGGUUGUAAACUUCUUUUAUAUGGGAAUAAACUGCAGUAUGUAUACUGCUUUGCUUUUACCUUAUGAAUAAGGAUCGGCUAACUCCGUUCCAGCAGCCGCGGUAAUACGGAGGAUUCGAGCGUUAUCCGGAUUUAUUGGGUGUAAAGGGAGCGUAGGCGGGUUGUUAAGUCAGUUGUGAAAGUUUGGGGCUCAACCGUAAAAUUGAAGUUGAUACUGGCAGCCUAGAGUAUAGUAGAGGUAGGUGGAAUUCGUGGUGUAGCGGUGAAAUGCUUAGAUAUCACGAAGAAUACUGAUUGCGAAGGCAGCCUGCUGGACUAUAACUGACGCUGAUGCGCGAAAGUGUGGGUAUCAAACAGGAUUAGAUACCCCGGUAGUC